CCCGUGGCGCCGUGGGAAAGCGCGCUGGUUUCUGCCAAAUGCAGUUAGCUUUGCUUCGCUUCCCUAAGUGCGUUCCCCCAGGGGCCCGGCAGUGUGCUAGGGGCACCCUGCUUCGUAAGUGAGGCAGACAGCCCGUGAUAAAUGCCAAAGUAGAAGCCCCUCCGAAAAAUUAAGGAGCCGAUUGGGCGGGACUAACCCUAAGGGAGGGCAGGGGAAGCGACCGUCACCUCCGGGCGCCGGGGACUCGGAACGCCGGGUCGGAGCUCGGCAGGCGGAGAAAUGUAAGCUCCAUGAGGUCAUGGAUUGUGUAUUUUGUUCACUGCUGUAUUCCCUGAGCCUGGAACAGUGCCUGACACAUAGUAGAUGCGCAGUAAAUAUUUGGUGAAUGAAUGAACAAACGCUAAUACAUCAAAGAGACAACAUCAAAGAACAGACUCCACAGGGCAGUUUACAUCUUCAUUGUUUGGCCCGACCCUUCUUGUUUGAGGGUGGAUUUUCAAAAUUACUGCUGAAGGCAAUUGGGAGCCUUGAAAGCUUUUAAAGGAGACGGGGUCUCACCACAUUGUCCAGGCUGAUCUCGAACUCCUGACUUCAAGCGAUCUCACCUCGGCCUCCCAAAGUGCUGGGAUUACAGGCAUAAGCCACCGUGCCUGGCCAAUUAUGAACAGACAUUGAUGCAGUUUCCUUCCUGGAGAGGGUACACACUCAGAUCAUGAGACCUAAGAUAAAACACACACUGGAUUGUCAAGAAUCAAACAAGGACUACCAAUGGGAUCUAAUUAAACUAAAGAGCUUCUGCACAGCAAAAGAAACUACCAUCAGGGUGAACAGGCAACCUACAAAAUGGGAGAAAAUUUUCGCAACCUACUCAUCUGACGAAGGGCUAAUAUCCAGAAUCUACAAUGACCUCAAAUAAAUUUACAAGAAAAAACAACCCCAUCAAAAAGUGGGCUAAGGACAUGAACAGACACUUCUCAAAAGAAGACAUUUAUGCAGCCAAAAAACACAUGAAAAAAUGCUCAUCAUCCCUGGCCAUCAGAGAAAUGCAAAUCAAAACCACAAUGAGAUACCA
rnacentral:lncRNA from 1 species